GACGAACGCUGGCGGCGUGCCUAAUACAUGCAAGUAGAACGCUGAAGGGGGAGCUUGCUUCUCUGGAUGAGUUGCGAACGGGUGAGUAACGCGUAGGUAACCUGCCUGGUAGCGGGGGAUAACUAUUGGAAACGAUAGCUAAUACCGCAUAAGAGUAGAUGUUGCAUGACAUUUACUUAAAAGGUGCAAUUGCAUCACUACCAGAUGGACCUGCGUUGUAUUAGCUAGUUGGUGAGGUAACGGCUCACCAAGGCAACGAUACAUAGCCGACCUGAGAGGGUGAUCGGCCACACUGGGACUGAGACACGGCCCAGACUCCUACGGGAGGCAGCAGUAGGGAAUCUUCGGCAAUGGACGGAAGUCUGACCGAGCAACGCCGCGUGAGUGAAGAAGGUUUUCGGAUCGUAAAGCUCUGUUGUAAGAGAAGAACGAGUGUGAGAGUGGAAAGUUCACACUGUGACGGUAUCUUACCAGAAAGGGACGGCUAACUACGUG
rnacentral:rRNA from 1 species